AAAAUAUCUAUCCUCCCUCUAAGCCUAGGUAGAAAACUAAGUUAUAAGACAAGGAUGAACACGAUAUAUGGUACUUUUUAAAAUCUGGUUCCCAAAGAAAUAAAACAUUUUAAAAAGAAUUUUAAAAUAAUGUAUUUAGCUUAUGCUGAGUAUAUAUUAGUGAGCAACUAAUUUAAAAAUAUUUAAGGAAUAAUAGUCCCCUCUGUUAUAAUAAAUUACUAUUGACCUAAUUUAUUUAUUAAGCUUCUCUUCUUAUUUGGGUAAUUAAUUCUAAGAAUUAGAACUUGUUUACACUAGUAAAUAUACUUUUAUUAUUUCCUUACUUAAAUAAGUUUUAUCAAUUUUAAAUUAAAUAUAAACUAAAUAACUUGAGAUUCUCCAAACUGUUUAACAAAGACAUAGUAAGACUGUGUCUUAUGUAUCUGCCCAAUGAAUAAUUUUUUAUGGCUUUAAAGUAGCGCAAUAAUUAGUUUAUUAAUUGUAAACCUGUAUGAAGCUAGCAUUGGUUAAUCAUGUUUAUUCUUAUCUGUUGAAUCUUAGUUAUCAGUACAAACGCUGAUAUGCUCCCCGAAGACGAUAAGACCCUAAGACCUUCACCUUGUUUGGCUGGGAUAGCCUACUUAAUAUAAUAAAGAAACCUUAAUUAUUACGAACCAAUUAUUUUGCUAUACAUAGGUACCUUAGGGAUAACAGCGCGUAAUACUUUUAGAGCUCUUAUUUAAAAGAUAUUCGUGACCUCGAUGUUGAAUUAAGUAAUAUAGUGCUGCAGAAGGUGCUAUUUUAAGUCUGUUCGACU
rnacentral:rRNA from 1 species